GCCUCCUCGUCGAAGUCUGAAUAGUCACUGCCAUGCCGCAGAUUUUGAAUUACUAGUCCAGAUUUGUCUACUUUAGUUUGAUUACGAAUGAUAACAAGUUUGCACCCUUAUCUUUGCUCUGUUUUAUUUCCCUAGGUACCUUAUUUUGUCCAGUCAACAUCUCUGAAUUCUCUCCUAACGGCAGCAGGUGACUUCCUCACCAGCAACAUUUUUUAAAACAUGUUGGUGAUGUUUGCACAGGAGCUCGGUGUUGCUUCCAUACUCUGUUCUGUUGGUCAAGUUGGUGCUGCUCCCUCUGCAGUGCAGGAGAACAAUACCCAUAGAGAUGUGUGGAGUGGGCUAUGUCAUCCUUUGACCACCAUGAUUGGCUUCUACCGACGAGGUGAGGUGAUUGAUCUUUUUGAUGUUCAAUUCAUCAAUUGUCAUUUCAAAUCCUUGGACUGGUGGCCGAGAUUGUAUUAGUUAUUCGUAGAGAUAUAUUUUGUACCAAAGUUAAAUUAGUAAGCUUCAGUAUUUGUGCAUGUGUCUUUUCCCUUUCGAGCAAAUGAAGUCCCUGUUAGAAAAUUUUAGGAUCAGAUGUUUUAUCCUUUGUGAUGCAAUCAAAGGCUAAAGAUUUCAUCUCACUAUUGGUUGAGAUUUUAGAUUUUCUUUGACCAGAGCAGUGUCCAUCAAUUUUAGGAUCAGAUGUUUUAUCCUUUGUGAGAAUUUCUAGCUUCUAUGAAUAUACAAUCAUCAACUCUGUACCAAACAUAUCGUAUGUUGUUCAGGCUCAUGUAGCUCUAAUAUUGAGUGCCUCAAAAUAGAACUCUCCGAAAAAUUCCAGUAACUUUAUAACAGCUUCAUUUUAUAUUCCAAGCACUUGGCUUCAAUGGUGAACAAAGCAUCCACCUGACAGCCCUACAGCUUCAUGUUUGAUGUUUUUUGUCAGGAUUUAUGGCUUUUAUUAGUAUACAUGUUUACCUCCAAUCUGGUAGUGGUACUUUUAUGUCUAGAGUUGCUUCUGCUAGCUACACCCUCUGCAAAGUCAUUUAUAUGUUGGUUGUUGCAGCAGCGCCGGCUUGUGGCCCUUGGUGUCUAGAACGGUGAUGAAGACGAUAACAAAGACGAUUGUGGCCUGUACGAAGGCUUCUAGGCAGUGGAUAAGAAGCAGGGCCACCUUGUCCUGGUGCUCUCAGGUGAGAAUGGCCCUUAGUCUAACAUGCCCGAGUUGUAAUAUGGCAUGAUUGAGGAGCUUCCUUUACUAGAUUAUUUUGGAAGUGUUAAAAACUAAGACUGUUGGUUGUUGUGCAUCAGAUGCCUGAGUUUGGUGCCUAUCGAGAUUGACGAUGAAGAUGUCAUUGCCCGCAUACGUGCCAGGGCACGAAAGAGAGAAGAAGUGGCCCCCGAGAGUCGAGAUGUGGAAAGCCCUAGGUAAAGUGGCAAGAUGACCAGACGUGCAACUUGUGCUUUUCUUUGUUGGCUGGAGGUUGCUGCUGAAGUGAUAUUGACGUGCUGGUGCUGGUACAUAGACAGGCCUGGUUUACUUGAUGGUGGCUGACUUGUCGGCUGGCGUGUAUUGAGCCGAAGAAGUAGUAGUGUUGAAUUCUAAGCUCUUGUUGAUGUUUUUUUAUUUUCUCGUGUGAGAGGGUGAUAUAUCAAGUGUAAAGUUUUGCAUGCUUGUUUCUAUGGAUCUGUUUGAAAUGAAACUGAGACUUGUGUGUCAGGCCUGUCUAUCAGUCUCUUAAUGUUCCUCACGCUAUGCAAUGCAUAAUAUCUAUCUGUUGGAAGGAUC
rnacentral:lncRNA from 1 species